rnacentral:rRNA from 1 species
AUUGAACGCUGGCGGCAUGCCUUACACAUGCAAGUCGAACGCGAAAGCGGAGCAAUCCGCAAGUAGAGUGGCGAACGGGUGAGUAAUAUAUCGGAACAUUUCCAGUAGCGGGGGAUAACCUGUCGAAAGAUAGGCUAAUACCGCAUACGACCUACGGGUGAAAGCGGAGGACCGCAAGGCUUCGCACUAUUGGAGUGGCCGAUAUCGGAUUAGCUAGUUGGUGGGGUAAAAGCCCACCAAGGCUACGAUCCGUAGCUGGUCUGAGAGGACGAUCAGCCACACUGGAACUGAGACACGGUCCAGACUCCUACGGGAGGCAGCAGUGGGGAAUUUUGGACAAUGGGCGCAAGCCUGAUCCAGCCAUGCCGCGUGAGUGAAGAAGGCCUUCGGGUUGUAAAGCUCUUUCGGUGGGGAAGAAAAGGUACGUGCUAAUACCACGGACUAAUGACGGUACCCGAAGAAGAAGCACCGGCUAACUACGUGCCAGCAGCCGCGGUAAUACGUAGGGUGCAGGCGUUAAUCGGAAUUACUGGGCGUAAAGCGUGCGCAGGCGGUUUGCUAAGACAGAUGUGAAAUCCCCGGGCUUAACCUGGGAACUGCGUUUGUAACUGGCAAGCUAGAGUGUGGCAGAGGGGGGUAGAAUUCCAGGUGUAGCAGUGAAAUGCGUAGAUAUCUGGAGGAAUACCGAUGGCGAAGGCAGCCCCCUGGGUUAACACUGACGCUCAUGCACGAAAGCGUGGGGAGCAAACAGGAUUAGAUACCCUGGUAGUCCACGCCCUAAACUAUGUCAACUGGUUGUCGGGGAAGCAAUUCCUUGGUAACGAAGCUAACGCGUGAAGUUGACCGCCUGGGGAGUACGGCCGCAAGGUUA